CCCCAAGGAUAAAACCUUCACAUGUCCGACCAUCUGAUCUCCACCAGAGCCUGAAAAGGUGUAGUCAGCUGGAGAAGAUGGAUAACCUGUUCCUGAUGGAACAGUCUGAGGGGA